GACGAACGCUGGCGGCGUGCUUAACACAUGCAAGUCGAACGGUAAGGCCCUUCGGGGUACACGAGUGGCGAACGGGUGAGUAACACGUGGGUGAUCUGCCCUGCACUUCGGGAUAAGCCUGGGAAACUGGGUCUAAUACCGGAUAGGACUCCGGACUGCAUGGUCUGGGGUGGAAAGCUUUUGCGGUGUGGGAUGGGCUCGCGGCCUAUGAGCGUGUUGGUGGGGUGAUGGCCUACCAAGGCGACGACGGGUAGCCGGCCUGAGAGGGUGACCGGCCACACUGGGACUGAGAUACGGCCCAGACUCCUACGGGAGGCAGCAGUGGGGAAUAUUGCACAAUGGGCGCAAGCCUGAUGCAGCGACGCCGCGUGAGGGAUGACGGCCUUCGGGUUGUAAACCUCUUUCAGCAUCGACGAAGCGAAAGUGACGGUAGGUGCAGAAGAAGGACCGGCCAACUACGUGCCAGCAGCCGCAGUAA
rnacentral:rRNA from 1 species